CCCUUAGAUAUCCUGGGCCGCACGCGCGUUACACUGAUGCAUUCAACGAGCUUAUAACCUUGGCCGAGAGGCCUGGGCAAUCUUGUUAACGUGCAUCGUGAUAGGGAUAGAUUAUUGAAAUUAUUAAUCUUGAACGAGGAAUUCCUAGUAAACGCAGAUCAUCAAUCUGCAUUGAUUACGUCCCUGCCCUUUGUACACACCGCCCGUCGCACCUACCGAUUGGAUGGUCCGGUGAAGCCUCGGGAUUGUGGUUCUUGCCGCUUUAUUGUGGCGUGACCGCGAGAACUUGUCUAAACCUUAUCAUCUAGAGGAAGGUGAAGUCGUAACA
rnacentral:rRNA from 1 species